rnacentral:misc_RNA from 1 species
GAUGAAGAACGCAGCGAAAUGCGAUAAGUAAUGUGAAUUGCAGAAUUCAGUGAAUCAUCGAAUCUUUGAACGCACAUUGCGCCCUCUGGUAUUCCGGGGGGCAUGCCUGUUCGAGCGUCAUUAUAACCACUCAAGCUCUCGCUUGGUAUUGGGGCUCGCGGUUCCGCGGCCCCUAAAAUCAGUGGCGGUGCCUGUCGGCUCUACGCGUAGUAAUACUCCUCGCGAUUGAGUCCGGUAGGUCUACUUGCCAGCAACCCCCAAUUUUUACAGGUUGACCUCGGAUCAGGUAGGGAUACCCGCUGAGCUUAAGCAUAUCAAUAAGCGGAGGA